GGCUUCUCUUUCCUCCCCGUCUCAGGCACUGGGCAUUUCCAGUCGAUCCAGCAGGUCUGGCUUCUCUCACAUAUGCAGUAAGGGUUAGGGGAGAAGGUCCCAGCUCCUCUUGUCUCUAGCAGAGUGUAAACUGGCUCUGCUGAGGAGGUGGCUGUGCUUUUAUUCCUUCUCCUGAGAACUGUUUAUAUAUUAAGGAGCUUCACAGCCUCCAACAUAAGGAAAGCAGGUAGGAACUGAUCAUAUAACGCUUUGUAAAUGUUUUAGACUUUGGCUUUAAUGGGAAAGAAAUGGGGAGCCAUUCGUGGGUUUUUGAGCAGCAGGUGGACAUUGCUUUUCAUAAUGACCACGCCAGCUGCUGUUUGGAGAAUAGACUGUAGGGGUCACUGCGCAAAUUGGAGGCCGCGAUCCAGGUGAGAACCAGGUGAAACAGAGCUCGGGCCAUGGAGUGGCGCUGGAGGCCUCAAACUUCUUCAUGGGAAAAGAUGGCUUCUCUUUUUUAAUUGAAUGAACUAGAAGAAGUUCAUUGUUAUUCAUCAACUUCAAAGAGACUAUAUGAGGCCCCUUGGCCAGGACUACAGAGCAGUAUUUUUUAAUCAGAAAUUAUAGCCAAAAAGAAGAGACCAGAACACAUGGGCAAUAAUUAAACAGGACAGAAAACCUCAGGAACUGGCCAGGUCGAAUUGCAUUUCCCAUGGGCAUAAAGUUCAAGAUGCUUUACUGGUUCCUUUCGAGACUGAACUACAGACACAGGACUACCAUCCAAACAAUUUGAAAACGGGGGUUGUUGAGCAAGGCGCGCAAGGCAGAAGCAACCGAAUAAACAAAAACAACACUCGCAAGAGUUAGCCA
rnacentral:lncRNA from 1 species